CGCUAAUGCUGGACAUUAGCGACUUAUUGAAGAAUGGCCCUGCGGCCACGCCUAUGUCAAUGAUCAAGUUUGCGGACGCGUCUACGCCCACGCCGUCGCCAAAGCGCACGCCAGCCCCCAACGCCGUAGUCUACGCUAAUGCUAAAACCUACGCCAACGCCAAAGCCUACGCCAACACCAACUCCCACGCCAUCGUCAACGCCCACGCCCACGCUGACGCUAACGUCAACACCAACGCCAAUAAAAUAUACGAGGCCUAACGAAUCAUCUUUCAGAUCAACUCCGCUCUUGUCCGUUGCGUAUGAUGGAUGGCAACCGCUACGGCUAUGACUACGGCUGCGGCCACGGUUACGGCUACGGCUAUGGCUACGGCAAGGGCUGCCGGCAACGGUUGCGGCUGCGGCUACGGCUGGUGCCUACGAAUGCGGCUGCGGCUACGGUUGGGCUAGGCUACAUAGCUACGGGCCACUCUAUAAUUCGUCGCUAAUGCUGGACAUUAGCGACUUAUUGAAGAAUGGCCCUGCGGCCACGCCUAUGUCAAUGAUCAAGUUUGCGGACGCGUCUACGCCCACGCCGUCGCCAAAGCGCACGCCAGCCCCCAACGCCGUAGUCUACGCUAAUGCUAAAACCUACGCCAACGCCAAAGCCUACGCCAACACCAACUCCUACGCCAUCGUCAACGCCCACGCCCACGCUGACGCUAACGUCAACACCAACGCCAAUAAAAUAUACGAGGCCUAACGAAUCA